rnacentral:rRNA from 1 species
GAUGAACGCUAGCGGCAGGCCUAAUACAUGCAAGUCGAGGGGCAGCAGGAAUAGCAAUAUUCGCUGGCGACCGGCGCACGGGUGCGUAACACGUAUACAAUCUGCCUUUAACAGGGGGAUAGCCCGGAGAAAUCCGGAUUAAUACCCCAUAACAGUGAUCUUGGCAUCAAGGACACUUAAAAGCUCCGGCGGUUAAAGAUGAGUAUGCGUCUGAUUAGCUAGUUGGUGAGGUAAGGGCUCACCAAGGCGACGAUCAGUAGGGGAUCUGAGAGGAUUAACCCCCACACGGAUACUGGGACACGGAUCCGACUCCUACGGGAGGCAGCAGUAAGGAAUAUUGGACAAUGCCCGGAAGGGUGAUCCAGCCAUGCCGCGUGCAGGAAGACGGCCCUAUGGGUUGUAAACUGCUUUUACACCGGAGAAAACCCCACUACGUGUAGUGGGCUGAUAGUAUGGUGAGAAUAAGCAUCGGCUAACUUCGUGCCAGCAGCCGCCGUAA